CCUACGGGUGGCAGCAGUGAGGAAUAUUGGUCAAUGGUCGCGAGCCUGAACCAGCCACGUAGCGUGAAGGAUGACUGCCCUACGGGUUGUACACUUCUUUUAUAAAGGCAUAAAGUGAGGCACGUGUUCCUUUUUGUAUGUAUUUUAUGAAUAAGGAUCGGCUAACUCCGUGCCAGCAGCCGCGGUAAUACGGAGGAUCCGAGCGGUAUCCGGAUUUAUUGUGUUUAAAGGGAGCGUAGAUGGGUUGUUAAGUCAGUUGUGAAAGUUUGCGGCUCAACCGUAAAAUUGCAAUUGAUACUGGCAGCCUGGAGGACAUUUGAGGUAGGCGGAAUUCGUGGUGUAGCGGUGAAAUGCUUAGAUAUCACGAAGAACUCAGAUUGCGAAGGCAGCCUACUAAACUGCCACUGACAUUGAUGCUCGAAAGUGUGGGUAUCAAACAGGAUUAGAUACCCGAGUAGUC
rnacentral:rRNA from 1 species